UAUUGACUUUUGACCAUGUUUUGGUUGGUCAAUGGCGUGAAGCCUUUCCGCUGCCUCAAGAUAGCAAUACGCCAAGAAUGCACCUGAACACACCUCCCUGUAAGACCAGCACGCCCAUGGGCCACAGAUGGGUGCAGGUGCAUUUGCUAU